AUUGAACGCUGGCGGCAGGCCUAACACAUGCAAGUCGAGCGGAUGAAGGGAGCUUGCUCCUGGAUUCAGCGGCGGACGGGUGAGUAAUGCCUAGGAAUCUGCCUGGUAGUGGGGGAUAACGUCAGGAAACGGGCGCUAAUCCCGCAUACGUCCUGAGGGAGAAAGUGGGGGAUCUUCGGACCUCGCGCUAUCAGAUGAGCCUAGGUCGGAUUAGCUAGUUGGUGGGGUAAAGGCCUACCAAGGCGACGAUCCGUAACUGGUCUGAGAGGAUGAUCAGUCACACUGGAACUGAGACACGGUCCAGACUCCUACGGGAGGCAGCAGUGGGGAAUAUUGGACAAUGGGCGAAAGCCUGAUCCAGCCAUGCCGCGUGUGUGAAGAAGGUCUUCGGAUUGUAAAGCACUUUAAGUUGGGAGGAAGGGCAGUAAGUUAAUACCUUGCUGUUUUGACGUUACCAACAGAAUAAGCACCGGCUAACUUCGUG
rnacentral:rRNA from 1 species